rnacentral:lncRNA from 1 species
UGCUGGGUUUCAAUUCACUUUAUCAUCAUCAUGUCAUAUUCUAGACGUAUUUAUAUAACAAGAAAUGCUCCAAUUUGGCAUACCCAAUGAAAUUGCCAACUCAAAUUCAAGGUGUAGAUCUCAAGAACGGAGUAAAUCUAACAUAGACACUUGUAAUGAUAUUAUUACAGACAGUGAGAUAUUAAGUGAUACGCCCAUCCAAUAUACACUCAACCUCAAUAAAGCCAUGUCGGGCAAAAUUGAAACAGCAAGUAGAGAAAAUCAAUUCAAAGUUGAAUUAAAACAUGACAAUCUGGUACUUGGCUCACAGUUGCUUGCUACGAAAAAUUUAAAUGAAUAGUCAAAAGAUGUUUAGUCCCAAAUCACAUCAAUUUCGAUACAGUGAACAAAACUGAUCGAAAAGGCAAGCGUUGAGGAACAAUAGACAAUCAAAAACACUAAUAAAAAACAGCAGUAUAGAAUAAACAGUUAAAAUACAAGCAGUAGAGUUCUUGUAAACGGAAAUUCACUGGAAGUUUUUAUGGUAAAUAUCUUACCCGAGGUUGUAGACAUACUCAGUCAAAAUAAAAGUCUUGACAAAUUGAACUCAUUAAUUAGACACACAUGUGGUAAACUUCUGCAACAUUCAACAUCAGGAAAUAGUACAUCCACAACGCCUGCUAAAAACAUAAAAAAAGAAUGACAAUAUCGUCGUUAAAAGAGUCAUUAAAUCAAUAAGUUCACUUGAGAAACAUCGUAUGAAACAUAAACAAUCUACAUCUGACAUAAUCAUCGUUAAUGGCAUACCAACUGAAAGUAAUACACCAACAGACUGUGCUGGAGCGCAGGAUAAUGACUCCUUCGCAAUAUGUCCUAAUUGGAAUCCGGGUCCGUUCGCACCCAAUAAUGUUCGCCCAAUUUCACUUUCGCACCCAAAGUCCGUUCGCACCCUACAUGUUCGCGC